UACGGGGGGGGCAAGCGUUGUUCGGAAUUACUGGGCGUAAAGGGUUUGUAGGUGGCUUGCUAAGUCAGACGUGAAAUCCCUCAGCUUAACUGGGGAACUGCGUCUGAGACUGGCGAGCUUGAGUGCAGGAGAGGAACGCGGAAUUCCAGGUGUAGCGGUGAAAUGCGUAGAUAUCUGGAGGAACACCGGUGGCGAAGGCGGCAUCCUGGACCGGCAUUGACGCUGAGGCGCGAAAGCUAGGGGAGCAAACGGG
rnacentral:rRNA from 1 species